UCGAGGAUAUUUCACAAUGCGCGAAAGCGUGAUGAUGCGACGCCGCGUGGAGGACGAAGGCCUUCGGGUUGUAAACUCCUGUCGUGAGGGAGCAAGUGGGUCUUGCCUAACACGCAAGGCUCUUGAUGGUACCUCAGGAGGAAGCCACGGCAAACUCUGUGCCAGCAGCCGCGGUAAUACAGAGGUGGCGAGCGUUGUUCGGAUUUACUGGGCGUAAAGGGUGCGUAGGCGGCCCCGUGUGUCGGAUGUG
rnacentral:rRNA from 1 species